UCAGACUCCUGGACUGACAGAUUUGGAUUUUUUCAGGUCAGAAGCUUCCCUGCAGAAAAGCAAGAUGUUUAGAGUUUUCUUUUCUUCUUCCUCACCAUCUCGAUGGCAAGGACGGCGGCUGUUCCUCUGAAAGCAGAUGACAGUGAAAAC